GGAGGCAGCAGUAGGGAAUAUUCCACAAUGAGCGAAAGCUUGAUGGAGCGACACAGCGUGCACGAUGAAGGUCUUCGGAUUGUAAAGUGCUGUUAUAAGGGAAGAACAUUUGCAAUAGGAAAUGAUUGCAGACUGACGGUACCUUGUCAGAAAGCGAUGGCUAACUAUGUGCCAGCAGCCGCGGUAAUACAUAGGUCGCAAGCGUUAUCCGGAAUUAUUGGGCGUAAAGCGUUCGUAGGCUGUUUGUUAAGUCUGGAGUUAAAUCCCGGGGCUCAACCCCGGCUCGCUUUGGAUACUAGCAAACUAGAGUUAGAUAGAGGUAAGCGGAAUUCCAUGUGAAGCGGUGAAAUGCGUAGAUAUAUGGAAGAACACCAAAGGCGAAGGCAGCUUACUGGGUCUAUACUGACGCUGAGGGACGAAAGCGUGGGGAGCAAACAGGAUUAGAUACCCUGGUAGUCCACGCCGUAAACGAUGAUCAUUAGUCGGUGGAGAAUCACUGACGCAGCUAACGCAUUAAAUGAUCCGCCUGAGUAGUAUGCUCGCAAGAGUGAAACUUAAAGGAAUUGACGGGGACCCGCACAAGCGGUGGAGCAUGUGGUUUUAUUGAAGAUACACGGAAAACCUUACCCACUCUUGACAUCCUUCGCAAAGCUAUAGAG
rnacentral:rRNA from 1 species